rfam:Morus notabilis contig19362, whole genome shotgun sequence.
UGUUGUGAAUGAUGAGACCAUUAAUUUACAGUUAUCCCUGUCUGACUUAUGGGUGCUGAAAAUUUGUGAUCUGACACAGCU